CGGUAAUACGGAGGGUGCAAGCGUUAAUCGGAAUUACUGGGCGUAAAGCGCACGCAGGCGGUCUGUCAAGUCGGAUGUGAAAUCCCCGGGCUCAACCUGGGAACUGCAUUCGAAACUGGCAGGCUAGAGUCUUGUAGAGGGGGGUAGAAUUCCAGGUGUAGCGGUGAAAUGCGUAGAGAUCUGGAGGAAUACCGGUGGCGAAGGCGGCCCCCUGGACAAAGACUGACGCUCAGGUGCGAAAGCGUGGGGAGCAAACAGGAUUAGAUACCCUGGUAGUCCACGCCGUAAACGAUGUCGACUUGGAGGUUGUGCCCUUGAGGCGUGGCUUCCGGAGCUAACGCGUUAAGUCGACC
rnacentral:rRNA from 1 species